CUGGAAACUGGGGCUAUUUGCCCAGCUUCAAAUUUUUUUUUUUCUCUUUAUUUGAGCUGUACAUAUCUUUACUUGGUAAAUAAUAGUUUACUUACCCAAAAAAAAAGGAUGGAUGAAAAAUGGGAUCAGAAGACAAUACCUUGACACAUUAUAUUUACAUAAGUGUAUAUAGCAAAAGUUUGUAUGAUGCUGUUACAACUUUUACAGAUGACAAAUUAAUUGGCUACAAAGUGUAAAAUUUGCACACCAGCAAUCAACUUUAUUGACCAAAUGAAAGGUGUGCUUAACCUACAGAUCCUUCAAGCUUCAAACUCAUUAGUUGGUUCACCUCAGCACCAAAUUCAUCAGGAAGUUCAUUGAAAACAUCUCUGCAAAACCCAGAAAUCAUUGCAGCCAUUGCUUUCUCAUAGUCGAUUCCUCUCUGCUGGAGGGAAGUUCAUUGAAAACAUCUCGGCAAAACCCAGAAAUCAUUGCAGCCAUUGCUUUCUCAUAGUCGAUUCCUCUCUGCUGGAAGUAAAACAACUGAUCUUCACCAAUUUUUGAAGUUGUAGCUUCAUGUUCUAUCCGUGCAGAGGGGUUUUUGGCCUGUUAAAAUGAUGCCAUAUGUAAAUACAGAAACAGAAGUGCUUAAUACAGUUGCAUUAAAUUCUCAAUCAAUAAUAUCCAACUUCCAAUUAGCACAUGAACAACAUAUACACAUUGACGUAUGCAGGAAUUUUUGUAAGCGGUAUAAACACUUGAAGAAGUGAAAAUAAAUAACUAUAAUGACAAACGGUGCCAUUUUAUAUAUUUAUACCGAAUAUUUUCAUUUUUCUUAUUAUCUAUACAUACGUAUUGACAAAAAAUAUUGACGAAGCAGUGUUACAUGACACCGCUUGACAUAAGGUGCCUACGCCCCUGCAUAUACAUGCAGCACCAGCUACCACAACAAGACGUGACCAGAAUGACAAUUUAAAUCAUUGUGUUUAAUUUAAUCUUUACUAAUUCCAGUUACCAGCGAUAAUUACACAAUUCAUGUAGCAUCUGAAUUAGAGCUUAAAGCCACACCAAAUGAGAACAAAAUGUUCUUUUCUUUUGAAUCCAUGCACUUAAUAUAUUUCUAGUUUUCUACAUAGAAAACACAUAAUCUUUCUGAGAGAUCCUAAAAAGUACAAAGGCGGAAUAGGGUAAUCAAAUCAAGAAUAUAAGAGAGUAUAUGCUGCUGUGAAUAUUAGUCUGAUACUAGGGUCUCCAACAAAUCACAAUGGAUGGUAGUUUGUAGUAUGUUCCCACGGUAUUUUACAAGAAAGAAAACUAUAACAUCCCGCAGUUAACUUCCCGAGUAAAUAAACUUUAAGAUGGUUGUCACAGGCCAGGGAAGAGACGACAUUCAUUAGUAUAUGUACUUCAACUGACCAAGAAUAAAGGUCAGUUAUUCAGACAGAUGAACAUGCAGUUUGCUGCUUGUCUGAAACAUCCACCACACCCAUAACAAUUUUUAUUGAUAGUUUCUCCACACAGAAGUAGACAAUAAACUUCGGUACAAGAGGCUUAUCAAUUCCAACCAAGGCUUAAUUCGGUUCCAGACAAAUCAACACACACCCAUUCUUCUUCGCACGGGGAUACCAAGGUAACUGCUUUUCAUGCAACACAAGGUUCUAUGGACAGACAUAUUAAAACAAAAUAUGUUCUCAUGGCAAUGGCCAAUGAACUUCAAAUGAAGGUAAGAAGUACCCUUUCCCCUUCCACCUUUUUUCAUUUUGACCUCCACAAGCACUUAAGCUGAGGUAGCAUAUGUUCCAUUAGUUUAUGCCUUUAUGAUCUAGGCAGGGAAAACAUUCUCAGCCAAAAAUGAAAGCAUAGGCUAUUUAUUGACCUCCCAGGCAGCCUCAAAAUUCCCAAGCCGACUGCAUGGAGCUUAUUAACAUGUUUUGAUAUCUGUUCCAGAGAAAGGAACUAACAGUGCCAUGCAUUUGAUGAAACUUUUAUUCUCAUCUCUUGUGAUUUGUGAAUGAUACUAAUUUCAAGGUAAAUUCCCUUUUUAUUUCUUUUUCUACAACUGGAAGAGGAGAGAUCUUGGAUAUGGGUUGGUAAAAUAAUCAUUAAACCUGUACUAUGAGAAAGGGAAAAUGGAACUCAACAAUACCAGCAUCAUGCAUAAAUCAGGAGACCACAGAAUAUAGUAAAGUAAUAGUGUGAUCAGAGUGCCUUCCACCUAAAGAGAAACAAGGCAUACGUAACAAACUAAACAUUGCACUUUUGAAGUAAAGAGCUAAAGUUGCAUUAAGAAUUAUUUUAUUAAACGUAGACAGAAAACAAAAUUGAAGUUCACAGAUAGCUAUUUACCUGAAUGUAUGGAUAAGUGUUGGCUGCAGCAUUAUCACCGAUAAGCAUUGAAUCACACUGGGAGGAAUUCCGAGCAUUCUCUGCAUUUGAUAAGACCUGAACUAGUCCUCUGU
rnacentral:lncRNA from 1 species